rnacentral:rRNA from 1 species
GACGAACGCUGGCGGCGUGCUUAACACAUGCAAGUCGAACGGUAAGGCCCUUCGGGGUACACGAGUGGCGAACGGGUGAGUAACACGUGGGUGAUCUGCCCUGCACUUCGGGAUAAGCCUGGGAAACUGGGUCUAAUAUCGGAUAGGACCACUGCCUGCAUGGGUGGCGGUGGAAAGCUUUUGCGGUGUGGGAUGGGCCCGCGGCCUAUCAGCUUGUUGGGGGGGUGAUGGUCUACCAGGGGGACGACGGGUAGCCGGCCUGAGAGGGUAACCGGCCACACUGGGACUGAGAUACGGCCCAGACUCCUGCGGGAGGCAGCAGUGGGGAAUAUUGCACAAGGGGCGCAAGCCUGAUGCAGCGGCGCCGCGUGAGGGAUGACGGCCUUCGGGUUGUAAACCUCUUUCAGCACCGACGAAGCGCAAGUGACGGUAGGUGCAGAAGAAGGACCGGCCAACUACGUGCCAGCCGCCGCCGUAAGAC